rnacentral:rRNA from 1 species
UGGGGAAUAUUGCACAAUGGGCGCAAGCCUGAUGCAGCAACGCCGCGUGAGGGAUGACGGCCUUCGGGUUGUAAACCUCUUUUAGCAGGGAAGAAGCGAAAGUGACGGUACCUGCAGAAAAAGCACCGGCUAACUACGUGCCAGCAGCCGCGGUAAUACGUAGGGUGCAAGCGUUGUCCGGAAUUAUUGGGCGUAAGGAGCUCGUAGGCGGUCUGUCGCGUCUGCUGUGAAAUCCCGAGGCUCAACCUCGGGCCUGCAGUGGGUACGGGCAGACUAGAGUGCGGUAGGGGAGAAUGGAACUCCUGGUGUAGCGGUGGAAUGCGCAGAUAUCAGGAAGAACACCGAUGGCGAAGGCAGUUCUCUGGGCCGUAACUGACGCUGAGGAGCGAAAGCGUGGGGAGCGAACAGGAUUAGAUACCCUGGUAGUCCACGCCGUAAACGUUGGGCGCUAGAUGUGGGGACCAUUCCACGGUUUCCGUGUCGCAGCUAACGCAUUAAGCGCCCCGCCUGGGGAGUACGGCCGCAAGGCU